GGGGAUGUAGCUCACAUGGCAGAGCGCUCGCUUUGCAUGCGAGAGGUACGGGGUUCGAUAUCCCGCAUCUCUA
rfam:Picea glauca, whole genome shotgun sequence.